rnacentral:rRNA from 1 species
AGCAGUAGGGAAUCUUCCACAAUGGACGCAAGUCUGAUGGAGCAACGCCGCGUGAGUGAAGAAGGGUUUCGGCUCGUAAAGCUCUGUUGUUAAAGAAGAACGUGGGUAAGAGUAACUGUUUACCCAGUGACGGUAUUUAACCAGAAAGCCACGGCUAACUACGUGCCAACAGCCGCGGUAAUACGUAGGUGGCAAGCGUUAUCCGGAUUUAUUGGGCGUAAAGCGAGCGCASGCGGUCUUUUAAGUCUAAUGGGAAAGCCUUCGGCUCAACCGAAGAAGUGCAUUGGAAACUGGGAGACUUGAGUGCAGAAGAGGACAGUGGAACUCCAUGUGUAGCGGUGAAAU